AGCAGCCGCGGUAAUUCCAGCUCCAAUAGCGUAUAUUAAAGUUGUUGCAGUUAAAAAGCUCGUAGUUGAAUUUCGGGAUUGACACAUCGGUCGUGCCUUAAGGGGUAUGAACUGGUGUAGUCAAUUUCUCACCUCCUGGAGAACCGCGAUGCCCUUAAUUGGGUGUCGCGGGGAACCAGGACCUUUACUUUGAAAAAAUUAGAGUGUUUAAAGCAGGCAUUUUGCUUGAAUACAUUAGCAUGGAAUAAUAAAAUAGGACGGCAUGAUUCUAUUUUGUUGGUUUCUAGGAUCACCGUAAUGAUUAAUAGGGAUAGUUGGGGGCAUUAGUAUUCAAUUGUCAGAGGUGAAAUUCUUGGAUUUAUUGAAGACUAACUACUGCGAAAGCAUUUGCCAGGGAUGUUUUCAUUAAUCAAGAACGAAAGUUAGGGGAUCGAAGACGAUCAGAUACCGUCGUAGUCUUAACCAUAAACUAUGCCGACUAGGAAUCAGACGAUGUUAAUUUUUUAAUGACUCGUUUGGU
rnacentral:rRNA from 1 species